GUCUACGGCCAUGACACCCUGAACAAGCCCGAGCCCAUCUGAUCUCGCAAGCUAAGCAGGGUCGGGCCUGGUUAGUACUUGGAUGGGAGACCAUCUAGGAAGACCAGGUGCUGUAGGCA
rnacentral:rRNA from 1 species